AGUGGGGCUGUUUGUAUGGACUUGCUUCCAUGCAUUGACCUCUCAGUCUAUGCUACACACAAUACACUCUUUGUAUCAGAACGCUUUGUUUUAUUGGCCUCAGUGCCUUUAAUCAAAUAUACAACUUUCAGCAACGGAUCUCUUGGCUCUCGCAUCGAUGAAGAACGCAGCGAAAUGCGAUAAGUAAUGUGAAUUGCAGAUCAGUGAAUCAUCGAACCUUUGAACGCACCUUGCGCUCCUUAGUAAUCGAGGAGCAUGCCUGUUUGAGCGUCAUUAAAUUCUCAACCUGACCAGCUUUUUGUGAGCUUGGAUAGGCUUGGAUCUUGGGGGUCUUUGCUGGCUUCAAGGAAGUCAGCUCCCCUUAAAUGCAUUAGUGGGAACCUUUUGUUGAACCUUCUUGUUCCCUGGUGUGAUAAACAUCUUUUUGUUAUCUACACCGUGGACGGUUUAUAAAGGGGCUUUCUGCUUCUAACCCCCAACACUUUAUGAACUUUGACCUCAAAUCAGG
rnacentral:rRNA from 1 species